rnacentral:lncRNA from 1 species
AAGCACAAGGAUUGGAAAGUCAAGAUUUUCUUCAACACCAUCAGACGUGGAGAUUCAAAUGAAGUCAAUGCAAGAACAAAUGCAAAUGAAAGACGAACAAGUGAAUCGACUGGAACAACAAUUGCAGGAAACCCGAGAAACAAUGCAAGAACAAAUGCAAGUUAAAGAUGAAAAAGUUGAUCGAUUAGAAGAGCAAUUGCAGGAAACCCGAGGUAUUUUGAACACCUUGCUCGAGCGUUUUAAAC